CGAGUACGACCCGUUACGACGGGGAAGUGUCUGAUGUCAGGCUUCCAAGAAAAGCCCGAACCACGUUAAUUCAAAUUGGCCCGUACCCUAAACCGACACAGGUGGGAAGGUAGAGUAUACCCAGGGGCGCGAGAUAACUCUCUCUAAGGAACUCGGCAAGAUGGCCCCGUAACUUCGGGAGAAGGGGUGCCACCGAGAGGUGGUCGCAGUGAAGAGUCCCAGGCGACUGUUUACCAAAAACACAGGUCUCCGCUAAGUCGCAAGACGAUGUAUGGGGGCUGACGCCUGCCCAGUGCCGGAAGGUUAAGGAAGUUGGUCAGGGAGCAAUCCUGAAGCUAGCGACUGUAGCCCCGGUGAACGGCGGCCGUAACUAUAACGGUCCUAAGGUAGCGAAAUUCCUUGUCGGGUAAGUUCCGACCCGCACGAAAGGCGUAACGAUCUGGGAGCUGUCUCGGAGAGAGGCUCGGCGAAAUAGGAAUGUCUGUGAAGAUACGGACUACCUGCACCCGGACAGAAAGACCCUAUGAAGCUUUACUGUAGCUUGGUAUUGGGUUCGGGCUUUGAUUGCGCAGGAUAGGUGGGAGACUAUGAGAUAGCUCUUGUGGGAGUUAUGGAGCCACUGGUGAGAUACCACUCUAUCAAGGCUAGAAUUCUAACUUUGACCCGUUAUCCGGGCAGAGAACAGUAUCAGGUGGGCAGUUUGACUGAGGCGGUCGCCUCCUAAAUGGUAACGGAGGCGCGCAAAGGUUCCCUCAGGCUGGUUGGAAAUCAGCCAUUGAGUGUAAAGGCAUAAGGGAGCUUGACUGCGAGACUGACAAGUCGAGCAGGUACGAAAGUAGGCCUUAGUGAUCCGACGGUUCCGUGUGGAAGGGCCGUCGCUCAACGGAUAAAAGUUACUCUAAGGAUAACAGGCUGAUCUCCCCCAAGAGUUCACAUCGACGGGGAGGUUUGGCACCUGGAUGUCGGCUCAUCGCAACCUGGGGCUGUAGUCGGUCCCAAGGGUUGGGCUGUUCGCCCAUUAAAGCGGUACGUGAGCUGGGUUCAGAACGUCGUGAGACAGUUCGGUCCAUAUCCGGUGCAGGCGUAGGAACAUUGAGAGGAGUCUUCCUUAGUACGAGAGGACCGGGAAGAACGCACCGCUGGUGUACCUGUUAUCGUGCCAACGGUAAACGCAGGGUAGCCAAGUGCGGAGAGGAUAACCGCUGAAAGCAUCUAAGUGGGAAGCCCACCUCAAGAUGAGUGUUCCCAUGGCAAAAGCCAGUAAGGUCACGGGUAGACCACCCGUUAAUAGGCGCUAGAUGGAAGUCCAGCAAUGGAUGUAGUCGAGGCGUACUAACAGACCGAGGGCUUGAC
rnacentral:rRNA from 1 species